UUAAUAAUCCCUCUGUCCGGAAAUACUCGUCGAGGAAAUGGAUGUAUCUAGACGUAUUUAUUUAUAGAUACAUUCAUUUUUAUCCAUUUCUCUAACAAGUAUUUUCGGACGGGGGGAGUACAAG
rfam:Triticum aestivum genome assembly, contig: Triticum_aestivum_CS42_TGACv1_scaffold_344554_4DL